GUGUGGAAGUGUGUGGGCCAAGGAGCAGCCAGAAAUCAGCUAAAGAAACGCGAGCCACAACUGUAAAAAGAGUUCAUGAGAAUAAAUAAAAAAAGUAAUAAUAAUAAUAACAAAAACGUGCAAUACAAGUGAAAAAAUAAAAAAAAAACAAAAGCAUAUUUAUAAUAAAAUAAUAAACAAGCUGUGUCUCUGUUUCGAUUUCGCUUUCGACUUUGCGCCUUUGGUUAAAGCGAAAAAUCACGUAAUUUAAUCCGCGAGUGCAGGAGAGGUGCAGGAGAGUUGUCUCCGCCCGCAACCUACUCCCCUCCUGCUAAAGUGUACGGUGUGUGUUUGCGCGUCGUUUACCGUUAACCAACCACUUGAACUGCACGUGCAGAUCGACCCCGUCCAAGGCAGUGGCAGUGGGCAGUGGGCGUGUGUAAUAAAUCCCCUUGUUCACCCCUCAACAAAAGAAGAAAGAGAGACGGCACACUUAUCAGUGCGAAGAAAAAGGAGGAGAAGAGCAUUUAGUCAUCUUCGAACAUGAGAAAGUGCACGAAUGUAUAGAGGAGAAAAAAAAACAAUAAAAACAGACUGUUAAAUACA
rnacentral:lncRNA from 1 species